AAUGGAGAACACACAGACCCUACUUUAACUGAAGUACGAGAAUACGCCAUGUCUUACGUCAAAGAUAUACUGGUGCAGAGUGUUGUAAUGGCGGAGAAGCGGAUUGCAGCGACAGACGAUUCCGGCAAGUGUG